rnacentral:rRNA from 1 species
GGGACACGUGGUAUCCUGUCUGAAUAUGGGGGGACCAUCCUCCAAGGCUAAAUACUCCUGACUGACCGAUAGUGAACCAGUACCGUGAGGGAAAGGCGAAAAGAACCCCGGCGAGGGGAGUGAAAAAGAACCUGAAACCGUGUACGUACAAGCAGUGGGAGCACGCUUAGGCGUGUGACUGCGUACCUUUUGUAUAAUGGGUCAGCGACUUAUAUUCUGUAGCAAGGUUAACCGAAUAGGGGAGCCGAAGGGAAACCGAGUCUUAACUGGGCGUUAAGUUGCAGGGUAUAGACCCGAAACCCGGUGAUCUAGCCAUGGGCAGGUUGAAGGUUGGGUAACACUAACUGGAGGACCGAACCGACUAAUGUUGAAAAAUUAGCGGAUGACUUGUGGCUGGGGGUGAAAGGCCAAUCAAACCGGGAGAUAGCUGGUUCUCCCCGAAAGCUAUUUAGGUAGCGCCUCGUGAAUUCAUCUCCGGGGGUAGAGCACUGUUUCGGCAAGGGGGUCAUCCCGACUUACCAACCCGAUGCAAACUGCGAAUACCGGAGAAUGUUAUCACGGGAGACACACGGCGGGUGCUAACGUCCGUCGUGAAGAGGGAAACAACCCAGACCGCCAGCUAAGGUCCCAAAGUCAUGGUUAAGUGGGAAACGAUGUGGGAAGGCCCAGACAGCCAGGAUGUUGGCUUAGAAGCAGCCAUCAUUUAAAGAAAGCGUAAUAGCUCACUGGUCGAGUCGGCCUGCGCGGAAGAUGUAACGGGGCUAAACCAUGCACCGAAGC